UUUCAAAUCUCACCACAUGCGAGAUUUGCAUCUUCUUUCACUUCUGAGUCGUCCCUGAUAGUGAGAGACUACGAAAGAUGUCUACAGAGAAGCAAUACAACUAAAAUUCAACAUGGACGUUCCAAUUCCAUAGAGCUCAACAAGAAAGUUAUCAUCUGACAUAUACGAGGAAUAAUCACCACAAACAGAAGAGAUGGCGUCAACAGACACAGAAACUGCUGCAAAGAUGCAGCCAUUGAAUUUUCCUCUAGAUCUGAACAAAGUGCCAGAAAACAUGAGAGAGGUCAUGAAAGACAUUAAGAAGGUGGCAGAGUCCAUGCUGUUUCACUGGAGUGUCUUUCCUAUAGUUUUACCGCCCUCUGUCACAGAUAUAAUUGGAGGACAGGAGAGGCAGUCCCAGAUUUUUAAGGACCUGUUUAAAGCUCCUGUGUUUGAUGAAUUAGAGGAAGUAGGAAUGACUCCUGAUGGGGGACUGAAAAAACUGUCUAAAAAACAGCUGGAUAGCAUCUGGGAUAAUGGAGAGUUUGAUGUUGACAGUUUAAAUUUUCCUGGACAAGUUCACAAAUGGAGAUUAACACAAUUACUUCAAAAGGGAACAAACAGAGCUCACAGUUCACUUCUUGAUGAUGCAGCCGUGUCCCUCCGUCUGAUGAUAAUAACAGCCAGGAACAGAUUUAGGUCUCAUUUCUUCAGUCUGACGAAAUCAGCCAGGGAGAUGGGCAGAGGCCUCUGGCUAAUUUUGGAUAUCUUGAUUGGAAUGCCCUCUACCAGUCCAGGAGAUUUAGAGUCAAAAAUACAAGAUGAACACAUGAAACACCUUGUAGCAGAACUGGAUAUCAAGCCAAAGUAUAAGGACACAUUGGAUAAAUUUUGUGCAUAUGUUAAAAUGAUGUGUGAAAAGCUCCAGUCCAAAAAUUAUCAGACAGCAGCUCUGAGACCCCCUCCUGUCCCCUAUAUUUACCAGACUCCAGGGGGACAAGAAAUCGACCUGAGAUUAUUCAAUAAAGAUCUGAUAAACAACUGUCUUCCCAUUCUGAGCAGUAUUCUGGAGAGAGGGGCCAGGGGGUGGCACGUACAAUACAGACAGAAAAUGAUGAGGGACCUUCAAGGACAAGGACUGUCAGAUGAAGAAAUUUCAGAGAAAGUCAACACAGCAAUAAUGAAAGAGUACCUUGACAGGGUAUUUAGUGCAAUAGCCAGCAAUACAGAACUAGAAAAUCUGCAACCUGGAAUAGGUCUUCUAUUAGUAUCUCAGGCUAAAUCAGUUAUUGCUAUGAAGAAAGCUGUCAGCAAUGUUAAAGACAAACUAGCAACUCACAAACAACAGUUGAUAGAUCAUCUUAAGCAAGCUUACCCAGUCAAAUCUAGGAUACAGGCCUGGGUCAAUGAACAGAUCACAAGAUUUGAAGAUGACUUCAUUCUACAGAAUCUAUGGUCGGCUCAUGAGGAAGCCAUUAAUCUCUGUGAACAACAAGAACUGAACCAGACAGCUUACUUCUUGAAAAGAGAUCUCAACUUUAUCAAAGAGAGAGAAGCUGUGUUAGUAAAGGAGCUCAGUAAAGUACGGAUUCCCAACAGGAGAUAUACAUUCUCUACCCGGAUCUGGCUGCCAAAAAAUUACAUUGUCUCCAAAAUGGAAGGAACAAAACGCACUGUGAUUCCCACAAAAAUCGUCAAAACCAAACCACCCCAAAAGAUUUCUCCAGCGAAUGUAUACUACAGCUUGGAUCGUUACCAUGGUAGGAUGACAUCAUCACGCUAUCCGUUUUGGAGAUGGUGGAAUUACCUACAGAGAACAUGGUCCUGGUCCUGGAAUUCACUUUUCUUUCUUGGGGUAGUGGUUCCAUGGUGCAGUCCUAUCAGUAUAAGGGCUUUGUUCUGGCUUAAACCUUUUAUUCCUGACUUGGAAUUGAGUCAAGUUAAUGGAACACUGUUUCCCAAAGAAAGUUCUGAAACUCAGACCUUUGUGUCAAGGCUCAGGGCACUAUGGCGACAUGUAUUUGAAUCUCGAAGAAAAUUUGAACAAACACCAGACAGAGGAUUCCUUGGGAAGAGUUUCACCCGACAUCUCAACAGGAUCUGGAACUAUUUUUUCAAGGGGGUAGUGGGAACUGUGGGAUUGACCUUGACCUAUCCACUACUGUGCAUUGUGGGAUCUGCACUCUCUAUUAUUGCUGCCAUUCUUGUCCCUGCGUGGGUACCAGUGGCUACAUUACUCUAUCAUUUAAUAGGAAUACUGAUUUUUGACUUUGAUAGUCCGGCUGACAAUAACAAGUUCUCCAUACUGUUUGAGGCUAUUAUCUACAGGAUCCUGAUUAUGGGUUGUAUACAACCAGUAGCUGCUCUUCUGACUGGCUCCUUAUUCUGCCCACUGGCUGCCUUAGGGGUAGCUGUCUUUGCCCUGGCCCGGAGGUCUGGCCGAGGUAUCUGGGACACCAUGAUGUACUUCCUCGUCAUCAGAAGCAGGGGGCGUGUCCCAAUCAGUGAUAGUUUUGUAGCCAGGAGAAUUGCUGGCCCAGGCCUGGCUGCUAACUACUUCUUUCAGAUAAAACCUGAGCAGGCCUUGGCGGCCCUGGAGUCCAAGAUGGAACUGGAUGAACUGGACGUGUGGAGGAAAAACAUGGAGCAACAGAUAGAGAUACCCACAGAAAAGUUCACGAAAUUUGUGGACCAAUGUUUCGGACCGUUCUCGGCCGGUCUGGUGGCGACAGGGGUCUAUGCUCGUCUGAGGAAGGAGACACAGUCAUUACAGAAAGAUCUGAUGGUGAAAGUGAGGGAGAGAGAAGGCAAGCUAUAUACAGGGUUAAUGUCCAACAACAGCGACAAGAUAAAAUUGCCGGAGAGAGAACUCAAGAUAACCAUUCUACAAGGUGCAAAAUUAUUAGAGAAGUUUUAUGUAGAGAGGGUCUUGCCUAAGAUGAGUAUGACUGAAGAGGAAUUCUGGGAAAGGAAGAUGUUAGAAUACAGAGAUUGGAGAGGUCUUGUGAGUAAGAAAUUUUCCGAAAUUUUUUCAAAGGCAUUUUUGAUUCCUUUGGAUGAGUCAGACAAUUUCUUCAGACUGGAGGUAAAUCAUCUGAAUCUGGGUCGUUAUACCAGCAUGUUGAGUAGUGGUAACUAUAGAGAUGACCUUGACCUAGUGACAGAAAUUCACUCUCCUAAUGCAAUGCCCUUUGGUAAAUGGGAUGUGGUCGCCAGAGCACCCUCUUUAGACCUGAAUUAUUUUGAUCCAAACAAAGUCAUCAUUUAUACCACAAGAUACAAACUUUCAAGAUCUAGGUCAAAACCAUGGAAACCCAAAAGAAGGAGUGUGACCUUUGACCAGUUACAGAUUCCCCUCCCACUGCCCCACCCAGCUGUGAUAGCCCUGUCUAUUUAUAACCGAGAACAUGAACAGAGUCCCAACAACCUAGAAGAUGCCUACUGUCAGAGGAUUCUGAAGGCUACUAAGGAAGUCCCAUACAUAGACCUCGGGGAAUCCAUGACAGAGGACGAACUGGAUCCAGAACCCAGCACCCCAGAAAAUGGUGCAGAGGAGGAUCUAAGUUUUCUCCACAUAGCUCAACAGGAGCGGACAUUUUCUGAGGAGGACAUGGCCAGAAUGCAGGAGACCAACCCAAAAGAGGUGCGGGUCACGAUCCACUCUCCUGAGGGGGAGGGGCGCCCCAUCCCCAUGGUUGAUGAGGGGGUGGUGGUGUAUACUGAACCUGAAGGAGAUAAUACUUGUGUGGAUGUUUAGAUCCUUCCCCCCCUUUAGCUUCUGUGAUAAAAUUUUGUCUCAGUAGACAAUAUUAUCUGAAAUACUCCCAUCAUUCAUUGCUUCAUUAGUUAUAUAUAGGGCAGAAUGUAUAUGUUCUGACUUUUAGAGUACUUUAGCUCAUUCUUUCUGUAGCCUUUUUUGUAUUAUUUUUCUCAGAUUUUCUUUUCUGACAUGAGCAAUGCUGUAAAAUAUGUGUUCAGGGUUUUUCAUAGAUAAGUUUUCACUGGUGCUAAUGUUCACAAAACAAAGCUGAAGCAGUGUGUCCCUUUGUUUUCUUGCUUACAGCUUGUUUAAAGGUCAUUUAAGUUUGAGUGAGAGGACUUCAGUGCAUGUUGGACUUACUUUAUCAGAGGGAAGUCCAGUAGAAGAGUUUUUGAACUUUCAUUUAACUGAUGUAUUUUUAUUGAGUUCUUUCUUGUUGUGAACCAAUGCUUUUGUAACAUUGAUUUUAUUUGAUUGUCAAUCUAAUUAAAAUUAGAUCCUUUACGCUCCUUGUAUUUUGUUAUGUCGCUGUAAGGCGACAUAACAAAAUACAAGGAGCGUAAAGGAUCUAAUUUUAAUUAGAUUGAUUUGAUUGUUUCAAUGAAAAUGAUUUAAUGUCUCUGUUGUGCUGCUUGACAUAAGGUUUUGCUUUAUCAGCAUAAUUGAUUCUGAAAAUCUGGCCAGCAGGUUAACAAUGGCAAUACACUGGAUUGUGAGCGUGUAUUGCUCACGCAUCAAAUUGGAUGACCCAAAGGAGCCGGAAAAAAUUUGAUUGGCUAAGGCAGCUUCAAUAUGAUGUAUCCUUGGAGACAUUAGACUCUAAAAUGGCUUAUUAUAAGACAUGAAGUCAUUGAUUGAAAUACUUUGGUGAAAUGAAUAUGAUUGUAUAAGUGUAGUCCACAUCCAUGUCAAUUAAUUAUAUUUUUUGAUAGAAAUACAAUAUAUGUACAUGAAUGUGUAUUUCCAUUACACUGUACAUACAAAGCUGGAUUACUUGAUUUUAAUCAUGCUGCUCUGUUUACCUGGCUUAGUUUAGCUUGGCCAAAUUCUAUCAGAAUCAAGGAUGCUAAUUGUUACCCUUUAUUUUACACUCUUUUUGCACUGACUUCUGCCUAUACACAAGUCUGGCUGCUCACCUUUAGUCAAAUUAAACAGUGAAAUAAGAUAAAUAUUUAGAUUUCCUUUUUUAAUAGUGGUGUAUCCAAUUGAUACUGGGACUUGAAUUGCCUCUACCAGAAAAUAUAUUAGACAAGAUGAUCUGAUUCAUAGCAUGUAAGUUAGAUGCACAUUCUACUGAAAAUGAAAAUGUAACAUUUAUGAUGCAUAUUUUUUAUCAUGCUCUUCUUCAUUGAAGAACACAAUUACUAUGUUAUGGUCAUUUGAUUAGUCUUUGAAGGAAAUUGGAAAAAAAAAAUGUUCACUUCUUUAAGAUUUUGAGCCUAUCACUGAUCCUGUAACUAAAAGUUUCUUCUAAUAUAAUUUCAAUUACCUAAGAACAUCUUAACUUCAUAAGCAAAAUUAUACAGUUGUAUUGUUGCUAUUUAAUUUGCCUUUAUUUGUUGCAUUUAGUUUGAUUUUACUGUGUAAUGACAAUUGCAUACUUUGUCUUUCAUUCCUAGUUUUUCUAUGCUGCUCUCUUAUGCUUGUUGUGUGAUACUCUGUAUUCUUACUGAUAUGGGUUUUAAUGCCAGCAUAAUGAACUUAUACCAGCAUAAUGUGCAGGAUAUUUUUCAAUCUGUGCAAUAUAUUGUUACCUGUAUACAAGAUUAAAUCUGGAGACAUUCUAUGAUUUUAAGUUUUCCUGUGUAGUUACUUUGUUUUCCUAUUCUAAAUAAUAACUGUCAGCUUUCUAUGAUCUAAAUAUGUACGGCACUGAGCUUUAUCUCAGCUUUCACCUUGCAGAUAUAAUUAUUGAGUAUUUGCACAUUCUGUAAUAAAGACAAUUUAAUCAUGA